UGGGGAAUAUUGCACAAUGGGGGAAACCCCUGAUGCAGCGACGCCGCGUGAAGGAAGAAGUAUCUCGGUAUGUAAACUUCUAUCAGCAGGGAAGAUAGUGACGGUACCUGACUAAGAAGCCCCGGCUAAUUACGUGCC
rnacentral:rRNA from 1 species